rnacentral:rRNA from 1 species
UACGUAGGGGGCAAGCGUUGUCCGGAUUUACUGGGCGUAAAGAGCUCGUAGGCGGCUCGGUAAGUCGGGUGUGAAACCUCCAGGCUCAACCUGGAGACGCCACCUGAUACUGCUGUGGCUAGAGUCCGGUAGGGGAGUGUGGAACUCCUGGUGUAGCGGUGAAAUGCGCAGAUAUCGAGGAAGAACACCCGUGGCGAAGGCGGCUCUCUGGGACGGUACUGACGCUGAGACGCGAAAGCGUGGGGAGCGAACAGG